rnacentral:antisense_RNA from 1 species
AUUCUAGCACCCCGACCCCUACCUCAGCCCCCAACUCUAAAUAACUUCUUUCCACCUUGCUAAGAAUGCGAUGUUGUGAUUCACAUCAAGCUUUAGGAGGCUCCCCAUAUGUAGGGAACUGGGGUGAGGGGCAGGGCACGAGUCACUGUUCCAGGUUACGGAGCUUUGGUUAACACGGAGAGAAGCUACACAGAGACUCACACAGUAUGCAAAUACCUACGGAGAUACAUAAGGAAAGGCCCCGGCCUGGUUAAGGAAAAGGAGCCUAUAAAAGCUCUCCAGUAUGCAUUCUUAGAAACCAGAUAUACAAAGACAAGCUCUCUGCUUUCAAGAAGCUCUCAAUCUGAUCGAGGAGAGAAACAGGUAGCAAAUAAUGACAGCAGAGCGUGCAGAACUGGGAAGAAAGGACCCUGAAAAGUUAGCUGGUUCCAAGUGACCCUCCAAGG